GACAUAUAGACAGAGUCUUUAUCAAUACAAAUAUUUCGUUUAUUCACUAGAAUUAUUUUUAUUGAUAAAGACUCUGUCUGUAUGAUCGUUUUC
rnacentral:pre_miRNA from 1 species